rnacentral:rRNA from 1 species
GACGAACGCUGGCGGCGUGCCUAAUACAUGCAAGUCGAGCGAAGCGGCGGAUGGGUGAGUAACGCGUGGGUAACCUGGCUUUAAAUCUGGAAUACCAUUUGGAACCCGAUGCUAAUACCGGAUAAUAAAUUAUUGACGUGCGAUGCGUUGGCUAGUUGGUAAGGUAACGGCUUACCAGGGCGAUGAUGCAUAGCCGAGUUGAGGGCCGAAUCGGACACAUUGGGACUGAGAAACGGCCCAAACUCUUACGGGAGGCAGCAGUUGGUAAUCUUCCACAAUGGACGAAAGUCUGAUGGAGCCACGCCGCGUGAGUGAAGAGGGUUUUCGGAUGGUAAAGCUCUGUAGGUGGAGAAGCGGUAAUCAACCAGAAAGUCACGGCUAACAACGUGCCAGCCGCCGCGGUAAUAC